rnacentral:rRNA from 1 species
GGCGGACGGGUGAGUAACGCGUAAGAACUUGCCCUUUAGACUGGGAUAACAGAGGGAAACUUCUGAUAAUACUGGAUAAGUUAGUAUAUCGCAUGAUAUGCAAGUGAAAGCUACGGCACUAAAGGAGAGCUUUGCGUCCUAUUAGCUAGUUGGUAAGGUAAGAGCUUACCAAGGCGAUGAUAGGUAGCCGGCCUGAGAGGGUGGACGGCCACAAGGGGACUGAGAUACGGCCCUUACUCCUACGGGAGGCAGCAGUC